rnacentral:rRNA from 1 species
UCAGGACGAACGCUGGCGGCGUGCUUAACACAUGCAAGUCGAACGAUGAACCACCUUCGGGUGGGGAUUAGUGGCGAACGGGUGAGUAACACGUGGGCAAUCUGCCCUGCACUCUGGGACAAGCCCUGGAAACGGGGUCUAAUACCGGAUACUGAACCGCUUGGGCAUCCAGGCGGUUCGAAAGCUCCGGCGGUGCAGGAUGAGCCCGCGGCCUAUCAGCUUGUUGGUGAGGUAACGGCUCACCAAGGCGACGACGGGUAGCCGGCCUGAGAGGGCGACCGGCCACACUGGGACUGAGACACGGCCCAGACUCCUACGGGAGGCAGCAGUGGGGAAUAUUGCACAAUGGGCGAAAGCCUGAUGCAGCGACGCCGCGUGAG